rnacentral:rRNA from 1 species
UGGGGAAUCUUCCGCAAUGGACGAAAGUCUGACGGAGCAACGCCGCGUGAGUGAUGAAGGAUUUCGGUCUGUAAAGCUCUGUUGUUUAUGACGAACGUGCAGUGUGUGAACAAUGCAUUGCAAUGACGGUAGUAAACGAGGAAGCCACGGCUAACUACGUGCCAGCAGCCGCGGUAAUACGUAGGUGGCGAGCGUUGUCCGGAAUUAUUGGGCGUAAAGAGCAUGUAGGCGGCUUAAUAAGUCGAGCGUGAAAAUGCGGGGCUCAACCCCGUAUGGCGCUGGAAACUGUUAGGCUUGAGUGCAGGAGAGGAAAGGGGAAUUCCCAGUGUAGCGGUGAAAUGCGUAGAUAUUGGGAGGAACACCAGUGGCGAAGGCGCCUUUCUGGACUGUGUCUGACGCUGAGAUGCGAAAGCCAGGGUAGCGAACG